GCAUGGCUGGCUCAGUCAAAGAGCAUGUGACUCUUGAUCUCAGGGUUGUGAGUUCAAGCCCCAUGUUAGGUU
rnacentral:tRNA from 1 species